CUAUUGACAUUGCAGUGCUGGAAUUGCCAGCAUUUGUUUGGAGAGUUGGACACAACCAGGGCUUUGUUAUCAUGGUGCUGUCUCAUCUUUGCUUAUGAACCCUGUUGUGAUGGAGAGAAAAGGAAGAACAUCUGCUCCCUCCUGGAAGCCUUCACUUUGCAGAUUCCAUCCUUUGACUUCAACUCCUUCUGCAUAAAGGAAAACGUAUACUCUCUGUGUUGCGUUUUCAUUUGUAUACCAUUCUGGGAUCUUCUCCGAAACAAACCACUGUGAAAUGACUCUCUUGAAUAAGACUCCAUUCAGGAAAUCCUUCUGUUGGUGCUAAUGGGAUGACCUCACAGACAGGAGAAAGCACCUGAUUUACAGCAAGGAAGGAACAGCUUAUAUGUACCGGUGACCUAAUGGAGGCAGAUUUCAGUAAGGAUGGCAUCCCAAAGAAGUUCCUUGUUUUCAUGCAUGGAUGUCACUAUGUCGACUUGCUUAGGCUUGACGGUGAUGCAAUGUGCGCAAGGCGGGAUGCAGUCUAACACGUCACCCUCAGCAGCCACACUGAAAUAGAGCAGAUGCUGAAAUGUUUGGCUGCCUUAUGUUGUCACAGUCUGUGAUCAGCAGAUUUUGCUCUCUUGACUGGUGUUGUCAUAUUCAUAUAUUGCCUAGAGGCCACAAAGCAAUAACAAGAAGGGAAUAUGCUGCUUGUCAGCCUGCAAUUUGUCUGUAUUGGCACCACAGAUCUUUCGUCUGAUGUAUUCAGUUUGGGAAACUCUAAUCUAUUUCUCUUUGUGAUCGCUGAGUCCAAAACAAUAAUAUACCACACUUUCAGGUUAAUACUGCUGCUUGCACUAUUAUAAAUAAUAGUUUAAUAUACUAAUUCCAAUAAAGAAUAUUUGCCAUUAGACAGGGUUCGGUAUAUAUUUCUGUGUGACUCAGUUUCAUAUAAGAAGAACGACAAGUAGUUCUGUGAGCAGUGGAAUUAAGGAGGUCUGCCUGGUUCCUAUGGAUUUGUGUCCUGAGGGUAAAAACCCUCUGUGGAGCCUUUGUGUCUAAGGGAGGAUGAGUUCAUGCCACAACAAUACUAACAAAUAGGUAUGUUGCAACAUACUUGUUAUUAGAUAAUCAUAAGUUCGUGUGUGUGUGUGUGUGUGUAUGUGUCACACUACAGCCUUUUCAUAAGCGAGGAGACCAGUAGGAGCUCUGUCCUCUACCCUACUGCAUAUUCCCAUAGACAUCAGGAUGAAGUGAAGACUCUGAGGCCUCUCCUCCUUGGUCAUAUUUGUUCUAACUGGCCAAGAGUUGGAGAAUUAUCAAGGGAGACAAAAUGGACUGAUAAACAUGUGCUGAACA